rnacentral:rRNA from 1 species
UCUGGGCCGCACGCGCGCUACACUGACAGAGCCAGCGAGUUUUUUUCCUUGGCCGAAAGGUCUGGGUAAUCUUGUGAAACUCUGUCGUGCUGGGGAUAGAGCAUUGCAAUUAUUGCUCUUCAACGAGGAAUUCCUAGUAAGCGUGAGUCAUCAGCUCGCGUUGAUUACGUCCCUGCCCUUUGUACACACCGCCCGUCGCUACUACCGAUUGAAUGGCUUA